rnacentral:rRNA from 1 species
AUUGAACGCUGGCGGCAGGCCUAACACAUGCAAGUCGAGCGAACCUAGCUUGCUAGGUGAGCGGCGAACGGGUGAGUAACGCGUAGGAAUCUGCCUGGUAGUGGGGGACAACGUUCCGAAAGGAACGCUAAUACCGCAUACGCCCUACGGGGAAAGUGGGGGAUCUUCGGACCUCACGCUAUCGGAGGAGCCUGCGUCGGAUUAGCUAGUUGGUGGGUAAAGGCUCACCAAGGCGACGAUCCGUAGCUGGUCUGAGAGGAUGAUCAGCCACACCGGAACUGAGACACGGUCCGGACUCCUACGGGAGGCAGCAGUGGGGAAUAUUGGACAAUGGGGGGCAACCCUGAUCCAGCCAUGCCGCGUGUGUGAAGAAG